rnacentral:rRNA from 1 species
UGGCCAUCCGAGUUGUAAUCUAGAGAAGUGUUACCCGCGUCGGACCGUGUAAAAGUCUCCUGGAAUGGAGCGUCAUAGAGGGUGAGAAUCCCGUCUUUGACACGGACCACCGAGGCUUUGUGGUGCUCUCAAAGAGUCGAGUUGUUUGGGAAUGCAGCUCAAAAUGGGUGGUAAAUUCCAUCUAAAGCUAAAUAUUGGCGAGAGACCGAUAGCGAACAAGUACCGUGAGGGAAAGAUGAAAAGAACUUUGGAAAGAGAGUUAAACAGUACGUGAAAUUGCUGAAAGGGAAACGCUUGAAGUCAGUCACAUUGGCCAGAAAUCAGCCUUGCUUCUGCUAGGUGUACUUUCUGGUUGAUGGGCCAGCAUCAGUUUUGACCAAUGGAAAAAGACCAAAGGAAUGUGGCAUCUUCGGGUGUGUUAUAGCCUUUGGCUGUAUACAUUGGUUGGGACUGAGGAACUCAGCAUGCCGCAAGGCAGGGUAUUUGUUUACCACAUUCAUGCUUAGGAUGCUGGCAUAAUGGCUUUAAUCGACCCGUCUUGAAACACGGACCAAGGAGUCUAACAUGCCUGCGAGUGUUUGGGUGGAAAACCCAGACGCGUAAUGGAAAGUGAAAGUUAGAUCCUUGUCAUGGGGAGCAUCGACGCCCGGACCAGAAGUUUUCUGACGGCCCUGCGGUAGAGCAUGUAUGUUGGGACCCGAAAGAUGGUGAACUAUGCCUGAAUAGGGUGAAGCCAGAGGAAACUCUGGUGGAGGCUCGUAGC